GAGAGAGACAUGCGCGCAUAUCAAUAAGCGGAGGAAAAGAAACUAACAAGGAUUCCCUUAGUAACGGCGAGUGAAGCGGGAAGAGCUCAAAUUUGAAAUCUUCAAGGUUUUACCUUGACGAAUUGUAGUUUAAAGAAGUGUUUUCUGCUGAAGUUUUGGUAAAAGUUCUUUGGAAUAGGACAUCAUAGAGGAUGAGAAUCCCGUAUUUGACCAUUAUUUUCAGCUUUGUGAUACACUUUCAAAGAGUCGGAUUGUUUGGGAAUGCAGUCCAAAAUGGGUGGUAAAUUUCAUCUAAAGCUAAAUAUUGGCGAGAGACCGAUAGCGAACAAGUACCGUGAGGGAAAGAUGAAAAGAACUUUGAAAAGAGAGUUAAACAGUACGUGAAAUUGUCAAAAGGGAAGCGUUUGACACCAGUGUUGUUUUCUCGAAAAUCAAUUAAAAAUGGCUCGAUUUUGUAUUGCUGAGACCUUAAAAGCUCACUGUACAUUUUUCGUGUCCUUUUUAAUGCACUUUUCGUUUAACAAGUCAACAUCAGUUUCUUUUGUCGUAAAAGGGUCAUUGGAAGGUGGCUUUCUUUUCGGAGAAAGUGUUUAUAGCCUUUGGCCUCUGCAAUCGGAAGAGACUGAGGUCUGCAGCGUAGACUCUUCGGGGUUAGAUACAUUUGUGCUAAGUUAUAGCUUUUUAUAGACAACUUGUUGACUAUAAUUAGUCUUGUAGCUUACUCGCUUAUGCUGUUUUACCUACGCUUAGGAUGUUGAAGAUGUAGCACAUCAU
rnacentral:rRNA from 1 species